UGCAUGGAACAGGGGUACUGCUGAUGCGGUUGAGAAAUACCCUUUAAACCUGUUAGUUAAUACUAUCGUAGGGAGUUUCUAUUCAAAAAAG
rnacentral:ncRNA from 2 species